UUACGGCCCUAUCACGUUGGACUACUGGUUCCCGUACGAUCACCGAAGUUAUGCAAUAUUGAGCCUGGACAGUACUUAAAUUGGUGACAGUAUGGGAAUGCCA